rnacentral:lncRNA from 1 species
UUCAUAGACGUAAGUAGCGACUAUUACAUUCUCUGCGAAAAUAUUUCUGGAAGACGAAGGAAAAAAAACAAAACAAAACAAAACUUAGACCUACAGAUUCCAGUUCCGUUGGAAGACUCAAGGACAGCUGGUUGAGGUUCGGAAGGGGAAGGAAUCUUGCGGAAUCACAACGCCACUAGUAGUUCCGAUCGCCACACUGCAUGUGCACUCGAAGAAAAGCAAGCCAUAGCCAGGUACCCCUAUCCUUCGGACUAGUCACGAAUCUUCGGAAGGCAAACAAAUGGGCCCAAUGGGAUGGCUAGAUUCGAUGCGAUGGCAUCACUGAAGAACAUGUGAGCUGCUUUGCUGUGGUACUGAUUAUUUGUUAUGGCAGGGCCGAUAAGGCCCUCACCAGCCAAAUCACGCAUUCCUUCUUGUCAGGUCUCCCCCAUCAUCACCUUUGCAAUGAUUCUCAGCACCUCCAUCAAACUCGCAGAGAAGUAAUGGAGUUGUCCUUCCAGCGUCACGUAACCCACGAAUGAUUUUGGUCUGGGGAGCCUGCCCACAUUCUGCACUGCUGCUUGAAGCCAGGGACGGCCAUUGCCACUGACGAUGAGUAGUGCUGCUUCAAAAACACGUUACCAAAAGCUCAUGCCCCUCCACUUCCAGGGGUCGGUACACAACCAAACCCUGGUAGACCACGGCUUCCUGGACUUGGACCGAGACCUCGAUCCACACCUUCCUUCAGGAGUGCAAGCUCGCGACCUAGAGCAACAGAUGCUAUAGAUAGCUGGCGAGCUGGUACAGAAUUCUCGAAGUGGGGUUUCUACCUGGGGGCUAGAGUGGUGGAAAAAUAGCAGUGGGGACAAAUUAGGGACGCGGAGUGUAAUAUUGGGAGGCUCCAGGUGGGAGGCCAGAGCACAGCCGAGAUUGCGCGAGCUCGCACUGUGCGAUCAUUACUGUGCCGUGCUCGUGCGCAGGUGCCCAGCAACAUCACCGGCGCCACGCGGGUGCAGUCCUGAGAACCUGAGCCCCCAUGGAUAGGAGCACCUGAGAUUUUCCUAGAGCUCUCUUUCGAAGCCUGAGCUGGCGAGCUCGUCGCGCCGUAGCGCAGAUCCCAGGUGACCAAAACAUCCGUCGCAACGCCGCGCGUGUCCGACGCCGGUGCCCGGUUCUCGUCAGUAGCGACGUUUUUGGGUCCACAAGGUUCAGGGGUGAAGGAUUUGCAUGAUAUCACACCAGUUCAUAUAUAUAUAUAUAUAUAUAUAUACAUAUAUAAUUACCUAUGUACAUAUACACACACAGACCUAACCAAGAUUGGUCGAAGAUGGAAAUUUUAUACACAUAGAGAGAGGUACCUAUCCAAAUAUCUUGGAGAUUUUAUAAAUUAUAUGAGGUUUUAUUACUUAUGUAGAAUCAUAUAAUUUUACAAUUUGUUAUCAUCUUCUUUCCACCAAACUGUCCUCUUCUUUUUAUCCUAUCAUUGCUUGUGUCAUGAUUUAAAAAAUUGUAAACAUAAUGAGGGUUAAAGAAAAUUAGUACCAGCAUUAGUGAAAAUUAGUGGAAAAGUUGUAUUGCAGAAUGAUUAAGGUCAUGACCAUUAUUGUCUUGAUGUUGGUCAUUUAAUGGUUAAAUGGUAGGCAUUCAUGUGUAUUGUGUCUACCUUAAGUAUACAAUGAGAUUGAUAUUAGUGUAAUAUUGUUUUAGUUCGUGUAUUUGUUUACAUUAGUAGAGGACAUGCCAUUUGAUUGAUAACCAUGAAGGUUUGGUAGUAAGGGAUUACAAUAAGGAUAAGACAGAUUGUAUGUGGUGACUUUUCACUUUUAAGAUAACUAUAAGUCUUUUUGGAGACAACUAGGAAUCAUCUUGGAGACAACUAGGAGACAUCUUGAAGACAAUUGGAAGUCAUCUUGGAGACAUCUUAGUGAUAUUUUUGAAGUGUUGAGAUGACUUAAGGGAGUAAUGAGAGUCAUAAAAUAGGGGUUGUUGUAUCAUUUGUUUUAGUUAUUAAAAAAAGGCAAAUUUUCAAUCUUAGCUUGGGAUCUAUUGUGAUUGAUUGGAAUCUUUGAUUAAAACAAUCUUUUAGGAUUUUUUUUAGGACAAGUGUAUCCAAGUGUAUCCAUGUGUGCACAAAGUUUGAGGGCAAAAAUUAACUAAGUC